rnacentral:rRNA from 1 species
GGGCCCGCACAAGCGGUGGAGCAUGUGGUUUAAUUCGACGCAACGCGAAGAACCUUACCUGGUCUUGACAUCCUGCGAACUUUCUAGAGAUAGAUUGGUGCCUUCGGGAACCGAGUGACAGGUGCUGCAUGGCUGUCGUCAGCUCGUGUCGUGAGAUGUUGGGUUAAGUCCCGUAACGAGCGCAACCCUUGUCCUUAGUUGCCAGCACUUAUGGUGGGAACUCUAACGGAACUGCCGGUGCAAACCGUAGGAAGGUGGGGACGACGUCAAAUCAUCACGGCCCUUACGUCUGGGCCACACACGUGCUACAAUGGUAGGUACAAGGGAAGCCACCCCCGCGAGGGGGGAG